rnacentral:rRNA from 1 species
UACGAAGGGGGCUAGCGUUGUUCGGAAUUACUGGGUGUAAAGGGUUCGUAGGCGGUGCGGCAAGUUGGGAGUGAAAUCUCUGGGCUUAACCCAGAGGCUGCUUUCAAAACUGCUGUGCUUGAGUGUGAGAGAGGCUCGUGGAAUUGCAGGUGUAGCGGUGAAAUGCGUAGAUAUCUGCAGGAACACCCGUGGCGAAAGCGGCGAGCUGGAUCACUACUGACGCUGAGGAACGAAAAGCUAGGGGGAGCAAACAGG